rnacentral:rRNA from 1 species
AUACGUAGGUGGCAAGCGUUGUCCGGAAUUAUUGGGCGUAAAGCGCAUGUAGGCGGUUUGGUAAGUCGGUCGUGAAAAUGCGGGGCUUAAAGCCGUAUGGCGAUAGAAAAUGCUGAACUUGAGUGCAGGAGCGGAAAGGGGAACUCCCAGAGUAGCGGUGAAAUGCGUAGAUAUUGGGAAGAACACCUGUAGCGAAGGCGCCUUUCUGGACUGUGUCUGACGCUCAGAUGCGAAAGCCAGGGUAGCAAACAGGAUUAGAUACCCUGGUAGUCCACACUGUAAACGAUGAAUACUAGGUGUAGGGGGUAUCGACUCCCUCUGUGCCGCAGUUAACACAAUAAGUAUUCCGCCUGGGGAGUGCGGCCGCAAGGUUGAAACUCAAAUGAAUUGACGGGG